UGACACACACACACGGUGGACACGUAACGAAAAAAUAUUCUGCCUUCACAAUUGAAUCAGAGCCGUAACAGAAGCAGGACGCUGCCCGUGCGGCAACGACGAACGACGGAAGCAGGGCCCGACCGAUCUGGAUUUUUGUCUUUCGGCCGAUUCCCAUACGUUCUAUUCUUCAAGAUCUCUCCGCAUCGUUCGAUCGCUCGCUCGCUCGCCGGAAGGCUAGCGGCUUCGUGUUUAACUGAAGCGGCCCAAAUGACACACCAAGUCAAUUUGCCAGCACGAUUGUUCCAGAGGGGACUCCCGAGAGGACUGGGACCCUCCAAUUGUGAAAACUGAUCUCAAUCACAGAUUUAUCGGUACCGGAAUCGGCGGCGAAAACCCUGAUCGCAGCAGCCCUAAUUAUGGCUGGUGUGCACAACACCAAGACCCGAG